ensembl:miRNA
UUUCUGACUCAGCAGGUCUGGGCGGGGCCUGAGAUCUGCAUUUGCCAUCAGCUCCCAGGUGAGGCCGCUGCUGCUGGUCUGGAGG